AGAGUUUGAUCAUGGCUCAGGAUGAACGCUGGCGGCGUGCUUCACACAUGCAAGUCGAACGGAGAUGCUAUGUGAGCGGAAGAUGCUUGCAUCCAACAAUCUUAUAGCAUCUUAGUGGCGGACGGGUGAGUAACGCGUGGGUAACCUGCCUUAUACCGGGGGAUAACACUUAGAAAUAGGUGCUAAUACCGCAUAAGCGCACGAUGCCGCAUGGCAAAGUGUGAAAAACUCCGGUGGUAUAAGAUGGACCCGCGUCUGAUUAGCUUGUUGGCGGGGUAACGGCCCACCAAGGCGACGAUCAGUAGCCGGCCUGAGAGGGUGAACGGCCACAUUGGGACUGAGACACGGCCCAAACUCCUACGGGAGGCAGCAGUGGGGAAUAUUGCACAAUGGGGGAAACCCUGAUGCAGCGACGCCGCGUGAGUGAAGAAGUAUUUCGGUAUGUAAAGCUCUAUCAGCAGGGAAGAAGAAAUGACGGUACCUGACUAAGAAGCCCCGGCUAACUACGUGCCAGCAGCCGCGGUAAUACGUAGGGGGCAAGCGUUAUCCGGAUUUACUAGGUGUAAAGGGAGCGUAGACGGCAAUGCAAGUCUGAAGUGAAAGGCCGGGGCUCAACCCCGGGACUGCUUUGGAAACUGUGUAGCUGGAGUACAGGAGAGGUAAGUGGAAUUCCUAGUGUAGCGGUGAAAUGCGUAGAUAUUAGGAGGAACACCAGUGGCGAAGGCGGCUUACUGGACUGUAACUGACGUUGAGGCUCGAAAGCGUGGGGAGCAAACAGGAUUAGAUACCCUGGUAGUCCACGCCGUAAACGAUGAUCACUAGGUGUCGGGGAGUAUAGACUCUUCGGUGCCGCAGCC
rnacentral:rRNA from 1 species